rnacentral:rRNA from 1 species
AUUGAACGCUGGCGGCAAGCCUAACACAUGCAAGUCGAACGAGUGGCGGACGGGUGAGUAAUGUCUGGGAAACUGCCUGAUGGAGGGGGAUAACUACUGGAAACGGUAGCUAAUACCGCAUACCAUCGGAUGUGCCCAGAUGGGAUUAGCUAGUAGGUGGGGUAAAGGCUCACCUAGGCGACGAUCCCUAGCUGGUCUGAGAGGAUGACCAGCCACCCUGGAACUCAGACACGGUCAAUACUUCUACGGGAGGCAGCAGGGGAGAAUAUUGCACACUGUGCGUCAGACUGAUGCAGCCAUGCCGCGUGUAUGAAGAAGGCCUUCGGGUUGUAAAGUACUUUCAGCGGUGAGGCGUUACCCGAAGAAGAAGCACCGGCUAACUCCGCGCCAGCAGCCGCGGUAAUAC